rnacentral:tRNA from 1 species
CAGAAACUAGUUUAUAAAAAUAGUUAUUUUGGGGAUAACAGAUACAAGAUAUUCUUGUGUUUCUGA